rnacentral:lncRNA from 1 species
ACAAAGAUCAAGACGCAAGGCAGGCAAAAGCAGAGGGGUCCAAAUCAAACGAGAAAGGAAAAACAGGCGGAGGUAGCAAAGGAGAACCUGGAUAGAGAUGGGUUCUGAAGCUGGAUCAUCAAGGUACGCUCCCCCCCCCCCCCCCCCAAUCGUCCCCCCAUGACACCUCUCUGCAACAAUGUACACUUAUCCACCUUUUCCAUCAAGCUGGAUCAUAGAGUCGGGGCAGCAAUUAAUAGGUUUCCUUUUCCACUUUUCAUUGCAUGUGUUUGCUGAAACACUGAAUUUGCACAGACUUAGUGUUGAUCAAAGGGGGCAGAUUGAACAUACAGAUGCAAUUCAAGGGAUAGAUCUAGCAUCAGCUUCGUGGGAUACAGAUGAC